rnacentral:rRNA from 1 species
AUUGAACGCUGGCGGCAUGCCUUACACAUGCAAGUCGAACGGCAGCACGGGAGCAAUCCUGGUGGCGAGUGGCGAACGGGUGAGUAAUAUAUCGGAACGUGCCCAGUCGUGGGGGAUAACGUAGCGAAAGCUACGCUAAUACCGCAUACGAUCUAUGGAUGAAAGCGGGGGAUCGCAAGACCUCGCGCGAUUGGAGCGGCCGAUAUCAGAUUAGGUAGUUGGUGAGGUAAAGGCUCACCAAGCCGACGAUCUGUAGCUGGUCUGAGAGGACGACCAGCCACACUGGGACUGAGACACGGCCCAGACUCCUACGGGAGGGCAGCAGUGGGGGAAUUUUUGGGACAAUGGGCGCAAGCCUGAUCCAGCAAUGCCGCGUGCAGGAUGAAGGCCU